AUCGAGGUUAAAGGUACCCGUACCGCAAACCGACACAGGUGGGUGAGGAGAGUAUCCUAAGGCCAGCGAGAGAACUGUUGUUAAGGAACUCGGCAAAAUGACCCCGUAACUGAGGGAUAAGGGGUGCAACCAUCAGGUGGCCGCAGAGAAUAGGCCCAAGCGACUGUUUACCAAAAACAUAGGUUUCUGCUAAGUCGCAAGACGAUGUAUAGGAGCUGACGCCUGCCCGGUGCUGGAAG
rnacentral:rRNA from 1 species